rnacentral:piRNA from 1 species
UAACUGUAGGCCGCUUCACGCGU